GCUCUUGAAGAACUGAACAUUGUGUGACUGAACUGUGCCAGAUGCAGGACUGGAGAACUUAGGACAAAAAUGUCUUGGAGAACCAGCAGUGAUGUUUCCAGAUGAUGCAGAAUUAAUGCUAGCUGAGCUAUAUAUAUCCCUGCUCACCCAGAAGGAUGGGUGGAUGAAAGUGACAGUUGGUGCCCCAGACAUUGUGAUGGAGACGUGGAACAAGAAAAUACCUCACUGAACUUCUAAAACCUCGAAUCUGUUAUUUAGAAUAGAACUUCAGUGUUGGAUGGCCUCAAAUUAGACUUUAUCCUAGCUUUAAUCCUUUUUUUUCCCCCAGAUCCGAUUGUUGCAUUCUUAUGAACAAGAAGGCAUUGAUGCACAAAGAUGUACAGUUGCUUCAGUAUUGCAAUUUACUUUCCACGAUAAUGCAGCCAGCCAACCUGAAAUUCACCUAUACAUAAUGGAUUGUAGGGAAGUAUAGCACUGCAGGUUUGUUGUGAGUCAGUCUUCUUAGGCUUUGAAAAAAAUAAUCUCUGUAUAUGUGUGCAACAUAUAAUUAUAGAAGAAGCAGUAGCAACAGCUUCCAUACAAAGAUUACUGAAUUCUUUCAAAUUAAAAAAUUCUUAUGAUCUUUUAUUAAG